GUGGGGAAUCUUGCGCAAUGGGCGAAAGCCUGACGCAGCCAUGCCGCGUGGAUGAUGAAGGUCUUAGGAUUGUAAAAUCCUUUCACCGGUGAAGAUAAUGACUGUAGCCGGAGAAGAAGCCCCGGCCAACUACGUGCCAGCAGCCGCGGUAAUACGUAGGGUGCAAGCGUUAUCCGGAUUUACUGGGUGUAAAGGGCGAGUAGACGGUUAUCUAAGUCAGUUGUGAAAACUCAGUGCUCAACAUUGAGCGUGCAACUGAAACUAGACUACUAGAGUGUAGGAGAGGAAAAUGGAAUUCCUAGUGUAGCGGUGAAAUGCGUAGAUAUUAGGAGGAACACCAGUGGCGAAGGCGAUUUUCUGGACUGUAACUGACGUUGAGGCGCGAAAGUGUGGGGAGCAAACAGGAUUAGAAACCCGAGUAGUCC
rnacentral:rRNA from 1 species